GGGAAAGAUGAGGAUGGGGGAUAGGGAAGAAGGGGUUCUAGAGAGCAGCAGCUGGCCCAGGGACUCUCUGGCAGAUGGUGACUCUUCAAUGCCGAGAUGGAAAUCGGGAGUCCCUGCUGUGCCGCCAACAGAUACAGUGACGUCUCCAGGCAAGCAUGAUGUUAUAGUGCUUGCCCGGGCCUGGUGGAGGUGGAUCCACUUCCACUGAUUCAUCCUCUGGAGGUAUGUCCACCUCCAUGGGCUCGACAUUGCUCUCUGGUGGGUCUAUAUCCAUUGGCUCAGGCUCACUGCUGCUUGCUAGAAGCCGACCCUUCUUUGGUGGAGGAGGAUUCAUCCUCCUCCACCAAAGCUCCUACACUGGAAGGGAUGGGUCUAGGUAAUGAGCUCUGUGUCUCAAAUGCAUGCUUUCCAAGCAGAAGUCGGUCAGUGACUGGUGUUCUGUUGUCAGGGUCCCCGUAGUUAUAGUGGUUGGCAGGGAGGAGGCUUGUGGCAUCAUUAGGCCAUGAUGAUGUGACCCUAAGAAUGUCCCAUGGCAACCAAAACAUGGCUGUGUUGUGCACGGGGAGGCUAUGGCCUGACAGUUGCCCUACUUGUCACCAGUGGGAUUCGAAUUUUCCCAGGUUUGAAGAUUUGGUACCCUUUAGUGUGCUCCCCUCCCGCAGCAAACUGAAGGACCGCACGCAGAGGGAAAGGCAGGAUCUGAGCACUGCUGUGAGCACUCACAGGACGCUGUUCCUCCCGCAGACAUCAUGAGCACUGAAGAUAAUCUCUGUGUGGAAUGGGGAAAGCUCCUAAAACUGGUGCUAUAAUCUGUAACAGCAGAAAAGCUCUCUCAGCCCAGCCCUGAUCACAUAUUUUUUACAUAGGGGAAUGCCAUCUCUUUCACUUCCUCUGCUCUCCCUCUUAUGAUUUACUUCUUCUUUUUUACCCAUAAAAAGUCUGAAAUGUCCUCUUGCACUUCUGUACUAUUGUACCCAGGAUUUUAAUAGGAACAUUUGAAAAAUAAAUACUAGCCAAGGAGCACAUUCAUUUUUAUUAUAGCUAUUCUCUCUGCAUAUGCGAUGGUGAAUUAACUCUCUUUCUGCAAGUCUCUCUUGAUUUUUAUGUAUCAGUGGAGAGAAGCUCAGACCAUAAAGCUUGUUGGGUCCUGUAGACAUUCGUGUUCUUAAAUAUGUAAAGACACCCCAAUGGAGCCCGUACUGUUGCUCCUUUCUGGUGUGAUUCUAUUUUAGUGCAUGUAUUGCCAGUGAUUUUCAUUUUGUUUAAUUUUCUUUAAAAGCUGAAAAUCUCUCCAAAGCUGUUUCUCUUCCUAUUUCUGAGACUGUCUGUUAGUGUUGCAGAGUUAUAGCACGGCAUUGCCCGAACAUAGGCAAUUUUCUACUGCAAGCACAUUAUCAUUAUUCUGUCAAUACAUUUAUUUCCUCGGAACCUCUGGGGCAGCGGUUGUUCUGCUCUAGCAGGGUCCAGCAGUGGCAGAAACCCGCUGGUCCCAAACCCAUUUCAGGUGCCCUGCUCUGUGUUGCACUAUGGGGCACUCCACCUGCCUAAAACCAUUUCCCAUCGUUGGGUUUUUUGACCCGAUCCUAGUGUAUCUCUGGGAUCAUAGUGCUGGGAUGCUUAUGGGUGUACAGGCCUGAGCUCUGUGCCUUCUUUAUUGAGUUACUUUUAUGGCAGCUCAUAUCCUUCUGGCUUAAUCUCAUUUUAUGUCUUUUUCCUCUCCCAGUCCUCAUAGUGGUAACUGCCUCUAAUAUUUAAAUGCCCACAUACAUGAUCAGCUGGUCUUAGGAAUAACACUUUACCUCAUUAUUUAGUAAAUGCUGGGCAUGGUCUGUUUUACAAAUGAUCUGGGCAGUGUGGUGCUCCCAUUGCGUGGGCUCUUCUUCAGUGGUCACAGUGGUAAUAAAUAGGUUUAUUGCUAUUGUCAGAGACAUAUGUUUUAAGGCCAACAGGGCCUUUAUGAUUAUUUGGUUGGAGAUUAUGGAUUGCUCAGAGCAGAAUUUAAAGCACUGAGUCAAACCUAAUAACGUGGAGGGGAGCGCACGUGGACUGAAUGCAUGACACAAAGACAGCCCCACGCAGGAGCCCACUGAGCACGGUGUGGGCACACAUGGCUCUAAUCGUGUGAGCAGCCGUCCCCAGGCCGUGGUGCUUCUGGGAAGCAGAUCUCCCAGGCUCGAGGUGGCGAGGCUCUGAGCUCUCUGAAAAAAAUGGCCCAUUAUUCACAGCUUGGAUUCUGGCUGUGUCGAUUUCCAGCAGGCAGACCUUGGAGUGACAGCAUCCGUCAGCGAGCCGGCUGAUGUACUGCAUGAAUCACUGCGGCCUUAUGGUCCCGGGGACGGCGUUGGGAGGGCAGCGCUCUUCCUGGAGAUGCCAUCUCAAAAUGACACGUCCCCCCAGCAAAGCACGUUCCUGGCGGGGUCUUUAGAGCCACUUUGCCGCACUCGGGUCCCGCUGAGUUGUUGUGCUGCUGAUUAUGAUGCUCUGCGAAGAGUUGUUUCACAACUAUGAUUUUCCAAUUACUUAAAUCACCUGGAACUGAGGACUAAACCAGCGUUCCCUGUUAUUUCUCUUUCUAUUUGUUUUUGUGUGGCACUUUUGGUCCCAUUUUCUCCCUCCAGAGAGCAGUUGUGUAACACCCAGGGGGAGAUGUGCAGUCCCAAGCACCCUUCCGCUGCGGGUGGGCUUCGUUUCAAAUGUAACACAGCCAAGUGUAGGCAUCCAGCUGCAGGGAUCUGUGAGUCUGGGGGUCCCAGCUGCUGUUAAAAGGACCACAGUGGGGUUCAGAAGGCAAAAACGUGGACACACCUGAGUGCUAACUCUGAGUGCUCAGGCACUUCCUGUGUGGGCUCUAUUUAUCUUGUUGCAGAGGGAUGCUCCCCUUGGCAUCGGUCACACGCUUCUGGGAGCUCACAGCCAGACGCUUCGUAAAGAAAGAGUGUAAUGCUAUAACCAAUAGAACCCUGACCCAGUGCUGUACAGACAGCCACAGCAAAUGGGAGCGUCUCUGGGAGCAUCUCUACGCUGGUAGUACCCUGAAUCUCCCAGGGCUCUGAGGCAGAUCUGGGUACCAAAACAAGACCCAGCCUCACCAUUAGGCAGAAAGCAUGUGAACGUGGUCAAAGCUCAGUAGAUCAGAUGGAUUAUUUCUGGGUAUUAGGAACAAUUUCUUCUCAGAAGGAUAGCAAUGCAUUGGCACAGGCUGCCCAGGGACGUGGUGGAGUCACUGUCCCUGGAGGUGUUCAGGAAAAUGGUAGAUGUCACACAUCUGGACAUCGUUCAGUGGGCACGGUGGGGUGGAUUUGUGGUUGGAUUUGAUGAUCCUAGUGGUCCUUUCCAGCCUUAAUGAUUCUAUGAUGAGAGAUCUAUGAAUGGCUCUCCCCCUACUCAGGAUGCCUUUACGAGGAGAUCCUUGCUUCCAAGCAUGGUAUAGGCAAGUGAAUCGCUGAUGCCAGCAUUGCAGCAAGCUGCACAUCCCCUUCCCUGUCCUAGGAUAUGUUCCUCUCCGUUGAUCAGAGUUCCCCCAUCAGAAUCUGGGUAAGGAUUUAAUACAAAACAGUCAGGAUCAUUUUGAGAAAGUGAGGUUUUGUUUGUGGAAUUUCAUCAUUAACAGCCCUUCUAGAGCAGUUACCCAUAAAAGGAAGCUGAGCUGGGAAUUACCUAUUGAGAGCUGUUUACCAUAUUGUGGCUUCUGUGAGAACAAUGUGGUAUAAACCACAUACCAGUUAAGUUGUUUAAUUAACUAAUUAUCUAUUCAGAGUUUCUUGUAGCUCCUUUUAUCUCUGUUCCUUAGCUACAGUACAAUAUGGAAAUUAGAGGAAAUUAAAACACUUUAUUAGACAAAAUAGAAUAGACAAGUUUAGAAAUCACAGCUUCAGAAAUAGAGGCCACCCGAUCAUGCUUGCAAUACGCGGGCAAUACUGGUGGUAGGUGGAUGGUUGGACUAGAUGAUCUUAGAGGUCUUUUCCAGCCCUGAUGAUUCUGUGAUUCUUCGGUUCUGUGUGAAAUGAUGAUUUGAACUCCAGCUGUUAAAAUAGAGGACGCAUCGUAAAUCAAGCCAGUAAACCCAAGUCACCCCGCAGCUGCUGGCCAAGGAAGCUGCGUCUGAUCUGCAGGUGAGUGCUGUGGGAGCAAAGCCAUCCCGUUCUGCCCCUGAGAACAACAUGUGUGCUGAGCAGGAAGCAACUAUUAGCAGACAAAGCCAGGCAAAGCGAGGAUAUGAUUGCUUCCAGGCUUCGUGUCUGGGGUUGUUCUGCACAGCAGCUGCUCCCCUCCUCGUGCAUUAAGGAGAGCGUUAAAACCGAAGUCCCUCGCUCAGCUUUACUUGAGGUAUGUGCUUUUAGAGGAGUGUUUGGACACAAAGAACCGUCUUGUCACUUGGGUAAACAAGACACAACUAUCAAGCUCGGUUUGGGGCUUAUCAAUUGGAACCAGCAUGAAAGUGCGCUCCCCAGCUCCAGCUUGCAGUCGCAGUGACUGGUUUCUCAAGAUAAACCAAGAGCGCAUUCAAGUAGUUUCCUCACAAAGUGAUAUGAAAGUCACAUUGUUGUUUCCCCACAUCUUACAAGCCAGUUCCCUAAAUAGGAUUUCAGAGAAACAAAGUGAAUGGGACGCUCAUCGUGCAGGCAAUGGGAGGCGUUACCAGGUGGGUCGGUGGAUGCUACCCUGAGCUGCUCCCCUCCCUCAGCUGUAUUUUAACAGCCUCCUAUUUCUGGCAGUACAAAAGCAGCAGUGUCCCGAGCAUUUGGGUGAGACAACUCCAGCCACCUGCCCCCUGAUUAACUGCUACAAGCAAUCCUGCUUUGUCUCAUAAUUGAAGCGCCAGCCAAUGGGGGUUGGCACGAGGUGUUUGCUGAGGGCUGGCCCCGACCAUUCUCCUCACUGCGCUCGGAUGCUCCAUCUCCAGGCCCUAACAAGGUCCCCCGGAGAAUCACAGCCACCUGGGGGUGUCACAGCACUGUCCCCUGCCCUCCUCGCACCUCUCAGACCAGCGUCAUCGUGGGCAAAUGGAACAUCCCUGCUCAGAGCCGCGGAUUUAUUGUUGCCCUAAUUACAGCCCUAACAGCCUCAUCGCAGUGUAACAAACAGUUAUUAUUCCACUUACAAUCACACUGACAUUCACGCUCCGUAUUAAUACGGAAAAGCAUCAUUAAUAAUGGCCAUAAACCCUGCUGGUCUCUGUCUCUGGUUGAGCUCAUCCUUCUGCCGCAGUCAGAGCCAAGGUAAGGCCAAUACCUGCCCCCAGGCCAACACCAAGCCACCACGAAAGCCACAGUGUGAAAGCCUGCAUGGCUGCGUUGGUCAUUUUAGUGCAGCAGCAUUGGUGAUGAGCAGUGGGAAGCUCAGCGCAGUACACGGGUCUUCCUCCUGUUCUGUGAUACCCAGUGCUUUGGAUGUUAUUAUGCUCCUUAUGUCAGUACAAUAAUAAUUUCAGUUCAGUUUAGCACAGUGUUGCUUAAAUUUAAUAGGUUAUAUGUAUCAGAUAAUAUAAACAUAUAUUAACUUUUAUAAGUUAUCAAAUAUUAGAGCUAGCUAUAUCUUAAAAAAGAUGUUUUCCUAUUUUAAUGCUCUUUUGUUACAAAUGAAGCUUUAAAUUGAAAUAGAUAGAAAACCUCUUCAGGUGCUAUAAGGAUCUAGUUAUCAUUUAGGAAGGAAACGUGACAGCUUUUGGAUUUAAAAUAACAUUAUUUUUUUUUUACAAUAACUAUUUAUGGACAACCAUAACACAAAGGUCUUGCAUACCACAGUUGCCUGGGAAUAAUUGUUGCUGAUGGCUCCAUUCGGUUCCAACUUGGUGGCUACAGAGAUGCUGGGCCACAAGGACAGCGUGGGAAUGGGGAUCUCCUGGUCGGGGCCAGGUCUCCCCCAUCACCACGUGUCCACUACGUCUCUGCUCUGCCACCCCUGCAGAGCCAUUAGCUGCAUAGAAACCUCCAUCAGUGCCCUGAUUUUAGUGCCCGUUAAACCACGUGGUCUGACAUUCCUCAGACUGGAGAUUGCUGUCUGCUUGGGGUUCCAAAAACUUCCCCAAAAGCCCAAAUGUGACAGAGAGUGGUGCUAACUAUGACAAAGCAGAGGGGCGAGAGCUCAUUUUAGUAAUGCAUUGCAGUGUUCACGCCGCCCAAGCAUCUGCUAACUGCCCUCAAUUUUAGGUUUUUAAAAAAAAAUGGACUUCUUCCAGGGAGAAGUGUAUGUUUAUCUGCAGGCAAUAAUUAGAGGCUGAUGAUUCAGGGACUGCAAAAGGGAUAGAAAAAAAAAAAAAAAACCAAAACCUUGGGGAGGGACUGCAGGGAAGACAGCUGAAAACUGUUCUAGGAUAAAUGGAAGCCUCCUGAAACCCAGCCAGGCUGAGCUUCUCCCACCUUCAGAGAGACGCUGUAGGGAUGCCACGAGCCCACACCUGCUCCCCAUCACUUGCUUUGGGUGGUGCCACCUCAGGCUGUGGGCAGCCCCUGUGGGAAGGCAGCAGCCUGGGCUGGUGUCCCAGGGCUCCUUCCCAGCCCCUCUGCUAUAGAGUGUAUGUCCCUGUCCCCAGAGCUCACAGCUGACCCUCUGAUGGCAUCCCGUCACCCAGCUGGGUGAGACCAAUGCCAUGUGCAGUACUUGGCCCCAGGUGUAACGUGGAUGGAUGCAGACUGGGGCCAUCCUUGUGUGCCAGGUGCUUUAAUCCUUCCCUCUGCACUACAAGAUGCUCACAGGUUCCAUACAGACUUUCAGCAGCUGAUCCAGCAAGGCUCCUGAACACGCAGCGGGGCCUGACCGACGCUAUUAAGUAGUGAUUUUAUCCAAGUUCACACAGGUAUUGAAUGGGGAAAUGGAGAGGAUAUAGCAUAAAAUAGAUAUAUUUUUUUUCUUCUUGCAGGAGCUUUAGAUUAAAUAAGUUUGCGGUAGCUGGUAGAAUAAAUUAGAUGGCAGCUGGUGAGAUAGCAGGAAGGAUCAGAGAGUGCUUUUGUGAGUAAGGUAUGGUGAAUCCAAGGGGAGAAUGGUUUUGGGGCAGUGACCUGGGGGCAGUGGGAGCAAGCUGAGGGGAGGGGUGGGAAGGACCCGUCUGAAGACCACCUCCCCUCUACACGGCCAGCGGUGGUCACUGUCCAUUUGCUCACCUCGGUGCGAUGCCAACAUCCACCACCUCCCUGCAGCCUCUAAUUCCCUUUUUCUCGUUUGCAGGGAUGUGAAGCGGUCUGGGGAAAACUUACUUGAUAACUUUGUGAAGAAAUCCAGGAGAGAACAUUAACUCUGCGCUUCUCAUCUUCAUCAGAUCACUGCCCUUUAAGUGCGCUCAAGCUCAUUUUGCUUUUGUAUUUCUUUGCACUAUCUACUGAGAGAGAGGAAUAACACUCAAUGAAUAAUGGAAACUCCGGGUUGCCACCAAAGAGGUCCCAGUCCUGCAGAAGAAGAGGCUGGAGGAGAGGUGAGACCUGGGCCACUACCAGAAUGCCUUUAUGGGCAUCCUACAGAGGGUAUACCCAGGUGAUCUUUGGUGCCAAGGUUGGGCCAAGGUCCGUAGCAUCACCUGUUGAUGGGUUCUGCACCUGCAAGAAAUUCCAUGGGUAUCAGCCACCCAAUUCGGCUGCGGUAAAGAGCUGGAAGCCCUUGCAGCCAAACCCAACAGUCAGUUCUCACACAUGGUGCACAUUUUUACAGCUCUGCCAACUGAUUUAUUGGAAAACAGAAAACUCUCAAAUUCUCAGAGCUAUAAAUGCUCUUUGUUUCGGUUCCUUCCUGACAAGCGUAUUUAUGAUGAUCACAAAGGAAAGAUCACAACAAAACCUGGCAAAAAAUGGAAGCGAGAGGAGCGAGCCAAGCUGCAGAUAAUAAGUAACAAAUCAGGAAAAGGAGGAAGGUAAUAGCUGUGAUUAAAAAUCAGAUGCUGUGAAAUAAAGAACAAUUGAUGGGAGAAGUAAAAGUAUCCAUUUAAAAAAUCCGCAUCCAAAUGCGUUAUGGACAACAAGAAAGCAUUUUAGAUUAUCUGAAACACAAGAAAUUCUAGCAGAAUGAUGAUGGUAGAGAUCCAUUUUUUGAUAGAUGUGGUAAUGCUGCCAAUAAUAAUGCAGACGAUGCAGAAGGGCCCAAAACCUGCUCGGGGUCUGAAACACUGAAGACAAUAUUUUCUGAGCACACGGUCCCCACCAUUUUCUAUUCCAACAGCAAGCACACAGCAGUGACCAAAUUGUUAACAGUUUAAAAGAUGUUAAGCUGCCACCCUUAAUUAGCUGAAAUAAUUAUUAAUUUUUAAAGGCUUUCAAUUAAUUUUUAAACUAGUUUUCAUCUGCACAAUCAGCCAACUUGUUUAUAAAUUUGGGAAGAAAAAGCACUAAAUAUUUUACAGGAAUGACAGGGGAAAAAAAAAAAAAGGAGGUGGCGUGGUACUUCUUACGAGCUUGGAAAAAAAGAUGCGUUUCCAAAAGCAGUUUGGGAGCCUGGGGUUUGCCUUUGAUGUAGAAGUUUUUUGCCUUUGUUAUUCUCCAGAAAAGUCGUGAGAUGCUUUGAUUUGUUGGGUCGCAGGGGGUGGGAGGUGGCGGGGAAGGUUUGGUUUGUGACUUGUGAGCCUGGGGGUUAUUCUGGGCAUUUGGGAUUUUCCUCUCGGUCAAAUCACCACGAUUCACGCAGAAUAUUGGCAAAAUAGCCAUAAAAUUACCAGGGUUUCCGUGACACUCAUUUCAUUACAAAUCCAGAUGCAAUACAAACGAAAUGAUGUUUAACCAGGGAAAUGAUGCACUCCACUUCUGCUGCAAAAUGUGAGCGUACAAACGUGAAAAUUUGGGUUCCAAAAGGGCAUCUUUAAGAUAUAACACUCACUCUUGUAGUGCAGCACUUCUUGCUUGGCCAGGCUGAGGACACUCUGCCCGACAGAGAACAAAUUGCUGCUUGGCAUCCGUGCCUCACCUCAGUGCUGUCUGGCAUUGCCAGCAGUGUCUUGUGUAGCUGUGUCCUGGAUCGUGACACCGAGCAAUGGUGGGAGCAGCUGGAGAAACCCCAAACUUUCCCCUGGGCAAAGCCACCGGUGUGCGAGAGCACUGCUUGCACGAAUUGCACGAGAUUCGGUAAUUAAAAGGAUUAAUCAUUUUUUGCUAUAGGGUGUGUAUGGCGUAUACACACACACAUAUAUAUAUAUAUGUAGCAAUGAUAUGAGGUUGCACAGAGCCACCAGGUUCUUGGUUUGCAUCUGCACCGAGCCCAAGCUGCAGUUCAUCCUGGGCAAGUGAUGGAGAGGUGGGAGCGGGGCUGCAGGUGCUGCUAAAUUCCAUGCAUCCACCCCUAGGGGCUAACAGCACACCCUGCAAUAAUGCUGUGUUUCAAACAAAAAAGAGCAUGCUAUUCAACAAAAGAAAAUAAGAAAAUGCAUCAACGGCAUAGCUGGAAAGUUUCAGUUUUAGCCUCUCCUCUGGUCCCUCUCACUCCAUAUUGAAGACAUUCACCAUCUUUUGGCAACUCAGUGCUUUCCAAGGCAGUCCGGACGCGUGAUAUCAUUCAUUUUGAUGCAGUACAAUCAUUAAAGAUUUUUUUUUUUUCCUUUGCCAUAAUGGGUUUCAUUUUGAAUAGAGUGUGCUGAUGGGAAAUAUCCAUCGUGGUGGGAGCGUGCGGUUCCCAGCAUGGCAGCAGGAGUGGGGUGCUCCAUCACCCGCACCCCUGCGCUGGGCUCCCCAGACUGGAGCUGCAGCUGCUGCUUGUUCGUCCCCACACACGUGGGGCAGCCGGGCCCUGGUGGGCACCAGCAAUGGACAAGCAACCAGGGACUGCUGCUCUUUGAGCCAACCUGGCUGGGAAGAUGAUGAGACUGCAGCAGCUGGGGUUUGAAAUGGGGUGUCCUGCAACAUGUGGCCUGAAUCAAGCUCCCCCACAUCCAAAAUCCCAGGAGAGCAGCUCGGAACACAUCCGUGGCCACACUUCCAGCGCAGACAAAUUUGUAGAAAAAGCCAGAAAACCAUAAAAAUAAGGCAUCUUCCAGCCCCAGCAGUGUUGGCUGUUGUUCACCAUCACUGGUGCAUAUCCCAGCCCAUUUCCAUGGCAGGUGCUCUCCAAUCAGGAUGGGUAAGCACAGGUGCUUCCAAUCACCAACAGAGCCUGUAAGUUCCCACCAGUGGGCAACUUAAAGCUGAGCUGCACAGGGUGCAGAAGGACAGGCUCUAUUGGGACAUGCUGAAAUAUUUGUCUUGUGCUCAUACAGACCCAGCUUGGCUUGCACGCUUGUUUGCCUAACUGAUGGAGGCUUGAUAGCUGCAGCGGGGAGCUCAUUAAUUGAAUUCCAAAGGGAUUAAUUACAGCAGGAAUAAGAGGGCUCUCUGUCAUCUUGCAGGUUUUUCCAUGCUGCUGGAUUUGAGGGGGCUGGAAUGUGGUGGAGGCAACUGGAGGAGCCCACGGUGUCUCUGCUGUGUCACCGCUGUCCUGCUGGGCACGGAGAGGGGUAACACCAGGUCUUGGUGGGACACCGUCUGCUGUUUCCUUUACAUGGAGAAGUGUUGAGAAGUCAAAAUUAACUCCAGCUGUGCCAGUGAUGCAGUUCACUGUGCAGACCCGCAGAUGUGGGAAGGUACUGCCAGAAAAGCAGGGAAGGGGCUUAAGGACUUCCCCGACCACCACAGCUGCUGGGAAAAACACGUUCUGUGCUGCUACAUUUUAAACCAGCUCCUGGCCCUGCCUAUUCGACAGCUUUACUGCCUGACACGCCAUGCAGAAAAUGAUUCUUGGCCAUUAAAAGGUUUUAGCACAGCUGGGGGAGGACUUCUUGCCCAGCCCUGGCUGUGUCUGCCUUAGGGACAUGGUGGCAGUUUGAGGAUGCCUGCGGCUGGAGCCCUGGGUCCCUUCACCCAGCGCUGCUGAUGCUGCUGGGAGGCCAAGGGGUUUUUUCAUAGGGUAAGGAGAAGGCUGGGCUGCUUGGUCCUGGAAAAGCAAAUGGAAGGGCUCCCUCUGUGCAAAGGAUGGGCUGUGCGUGCAUGUCACCUCCUCGCACUGGCCGCAGUGAGGGCGUAGCUGGCCCUUGGAGAUGGGAAGGGCUGAGCUGCGAGGGGAGCAGCACCCACAUCCCUGCAGCCUCAGCUGCGGCCCUGGGCACCAGCCCCUCUCCUAAUUGCUGUAUGCUCCUCUCCUGGUGGAGCAUAUGGCUCUCCUUAUGCUGCUGUCGUGUCCAAUCUCACACGGUGGCCCCAGUGCUCUUAAUCAGCAGGCAAGCAUGUGGAUGCCUUGGUAAGUGAAAGGUUUGUAGAGGGGAUGGCAGCAAUGUGUUGGUUCCCCCCCCACCACCUUUAGGUUCUUAGGAAAUAAGUGUGAAGUGCUGCUCAGAGUGCCUCCAGCUGCACUUCUCCUCUGUGCUAGGGUUGGAGCAUCCAAAUGAGGGAGAUCUCAGGACGUGGGAGCAGGAUGAGGAGUGGCACUUUGGCAGCAGGAGGUUUAUUGCUCCCAGCGUACCCUACCAGCACCCACACAGCACCUCAGGGGCAGGAAGAGAGAGACACGCAUAAAAAUGUAGGAAAUGCCUUGCUGGGAAAAAGUCGAGCAGCAGCCAAAAGCUUCCCAGGCACCUGGACGAGGGCAGAUCUUUACCACCACUGCCCUAAGCUGGGGAACAGAACUUGAG